rnacentral:lncRNA from 1 species
AUGACAGAAUCACAGCAUGUGCUGAGUUGGAAGGGACCCACAGGGAUCACAGAUCCAGCUCCCAGCCCUGCACAGGACCAGCACCAAGAAUCAUAUCCUGUGCCUGAGAGUGAUGAGCAUCUUGUGGCCUUUGGGUGCUUUAACUCCUCUGGAGACAGCCACAUGAGGAAGUCAGGAAAGAAGAAAAAAAAAGCUGACCUUAUAGUAAGUUAUUACUGUUUAUGCCAGUGUCUGGAUUUCAAGCCACCCUGGAGCCAAAAGGCUGAGAGCAUGCUCUGCUACACUCUGAACUACCACUCAGGAAGGAGCUCUUGGAACCAUUUGGGGAGAGUUCUGGGACUCUUCAGGAGCUGUCAAAAAGGCAAGAAAGACUCUAAGAAUGAAGGGGAAGUUAAAAAAAUAAAUAUCUUAUGGAAAAAUGUAAAUAUUUUUUAAA